AUCACAGCCUGACUAUUACAACCAUUAUUACCACCACCAUUACCACAGGUAACGGUGCGGGCUGACGCAUACAGGAAAAAUAAAAAAUAAAGCCCGCACUUAACCAGUGCGGGUUUUUUUUUC
rfam:Izhakiella sp. D4N98 NODE_6_length_247640_cov_108.729_ID_2963, whole genome shotgun sequence.